rnacentral:lncRNA from 1 species
GACAUGUUUCAGGAGUCACACCCAAGAACCUUGCUGCUGCUGAGAUGAGUCAUGCUAAAAAAAUUUUUUUUUUUUUUUUUUGGAAACACCAUUUCAUUUUUGGAUUGCUGCUGCUUAUGAAAUAAUCAUGCAGCUAACAUUACUUUCUGAAGCAGAAGAGUUGUUUGCAGACUGUGAAGAAAUUGAAGGUUUUAGUUGUUUUUGCAGAGAAAUGCUGAAGUUACUGUGAACGGCAACUUCAGCAUGCAAAGUGUUAUGUCCCUACUGUCCUUUUCAAGUGAAGGUUUUCUCCAAAGAGGCACCCCCUGUCCAAAUCAGGAAAAGCAAGUUCUAUCUUUUGGCACCUUACUGCGCUCUGGAGCAUUUGAGUUUGUAAUCUGGUACUUGUAAUCUGAAGAUUACCAGUACAGUGUUCAAUAUUUGAAAGAGAGCAGCAAGAAUCUAGCAGCAGGCAAAAACUCACUGGUGAAAUCAUAUGUGAAACAGGAAAUUGCUGCAGAACAGCAGGAAUGAGUUUCUGGCAGGGAAUAUAGGCUAGCACUUAUAUAGUACAAGAAUUAAAAAAAAAAACAAAAAUACUCUUGCACAUAUAUUCAGAAAAGCUUCACAUUGAGUAGAUGAGAUGAAGAUUUGCUGCCUGUGACAGGUCCUCCAGCAGAGGUCAGGGAAGACAGCUGGUAGCAGCAGCUCAACAACAGUGAGUCUGCAGAGUCUGAGCUUUGCUUUUGCAUACUCUCCUGGUGAAUGCUGUGACUCCAUCUAUUGACAAAGCACUUUCCAGGACAACUUAAAUAAGCAGAUAUGCUAUAGAAAUUUCUUUUUUCCCCAGAAACUAUAUUAUGGUGAAAGUUUAUCACCUCAUAAGUGGCACUUUACAUCAAAGCAGGAAAGAUGAGCAGAAAGACACUACAGACAAAGAAGGAAUGGCUCUAAGAGAAGAAGGGACUGGAAUAGUUAAGGUACGGAAUACAGCAGUUUUUCAAAGGCUGUUUUUAUGAUUGUCAAUAGCUAGCAAUUAAUUUGAAUACUUUUAAAUAUUUAACCUAUAAAACCUAAAACACUGAGUUCUUGAUGCCUG